rnacentral:rRNA from 1 species
AUUGAACGCUGGCGGCAGGCUUAACACAUGCAAGUCGAGCGGAGUGAUGGUGCUUGCACUAUCACUUAGCGGCGGACGAGUGAGUAAUGCUUAGGAAUCUGCCAUUUAGUGGGGGACAACAUUCCGAAAGGAAUGCUAAUACCGCAUACGUCCUACGGGAGAAAGCAGGGGAUCUUCGGACCUUGCGCUAAAUGAUGAGCCUAAGUCGGAUUAGCUAGUUGGUGGGGUAAAGGCCUACCAAGGCGACGAUCUGUAGCGGGUGUGAGAGGAUGAUCCGCCACACUGGGACUGAGACACGGCCCAGACUCCUACGGGAGGCAGCAGUGGGGAAUAUUGGACAAUGGGCGGAAGCCUGAUCCAGCCAUGCCGCGUGUGUGAAGAAGGCCUUUUGGUUGUAAAGCACUUUAAGCGAGGAGGAGGCUACUAGUACUAAUACUACUGGAUAGUGGACGUUACUCGCAGAAUAAGCACCGGCUAACUCUGUGCCAGCCGCCGCGGUAAGAC